rnacentral:rRNA from 1 species
AGAGCGAACGCUGGCGGCGUGCUUAACACAUGCAAGUCGAACGAGGACUGUAGCAAUACAGUUACUCGUGGCGAACGGGUGCGUAACACGUGGAUAACCUUCCUUCAGGUGGGGAAUAACCCAGUGAAAAUUGGGCUAAUACCGCAUAACAAUGCGAGGGCACAUGCUCUUGCUUUCAAAGGCGCAAGUCGCCAGAAGAGGGAUCCGCGGCCGAUUAGCUUGUUGGCGGGUAACGGCCCACCAAGGCUUUGAUCGGUAGCCGGACUGAGAGGUUGGCCGGCCACACUGGAACUGAGACACGGUCCAGACUCCUACGGGAGGCAGCAGUGGGGAAUCUUGCACAAUGGACGAAAGUCUGAUGCAGCAACGCCGCGUGGGGGAUGAAGCUUCUCGGAGUGUAAACCCCUUUCGACCCGGAGAAUGCCCGCAAGGGUUUGACGGUACGGGUAUAAGAAGCCCCGGCUAACUACGUGCCAGCAGCCGC